rnacentral:rRNA from 1 species
GACGAAGGAUGCAAGCGUUAUCCGGAUUCAUUGGGUUUAAAGGGCGCGUAGGCGGCCUUAUAAGUCAGUGGUGAAAUCUCUGGGCUUAACCCAGAAAUUGCCAUUGAUACUGUAGGGCUUGAGUAUAGUUGCCGUUGGCGGAAUAUGACAUGUAGUGGUGAAAUACAUAGAGAUGUCAUAGAACACCGAUUGCGAAGGCAGCUGACGAAACUAUAACUGACACUGAGGCUCGAAAGUGCGGGGAUCAAACAGG